UACAGCGAUGGGCACGUGUCGCGAGCCCACAUUUCAGAAAAUUUCAGAUUUCUUCUCUCUGCUCUUUCUUUCUCUCUCUUUUCAGAUUCGUCCCUCCUCUCUCUCCUCUCUCUCUUUCUGUUUAGCACUUACUUUUUUUUCUUUCCUCUUGCGUCCACCAUGGCUUGAGCUCAAGCCCAAGGCUCAUGGCUGCUUUGGCCACGGAGCUCGACCUCAAACCCGGAGCUUGGGUCGCCUUGGCCGCUCGAGCUCGUGGCAAUGGCCACUUGAGCUUUGAGCUCGUCCCCAUGGUUACCUGAAGUCUUGAGCGAAGAUGCCAUUGCCACGAGAGCAGGUGUUGUCGAAGGCCUUGACUUUUGAAAUCGAGGAGGUGAGAUCGAGCGGGAGGUUGAGAUUGAGCGGGAACGAUGGAGAGUUGCAGGGCCGAAUGCGAGUCGGGAGGGAGAGCGAGAGACUUAUGGAGAGUUGUAGAGCUGAAUUGCAAGUCGGGCGGGAGGGACAAAGAGUUGCAGAGCUUCGUCGAGAGUCCGAGCAGGAGGGAUGGAGAGUUGCAGAGCUGAAUGCGACUCGAGAAGGAGAGAGAGAAAGGGAAGAGAGCGCGUCGCUUUUCUCAGACAAGGGAGGGAGAGAGAUGCCGUGAAGGAGAGAGAGAGAGAGAGACGCCGCCAAAGCAAUGAGUUUGAAAAAUUUUCUGGCAGUCGGCCCGUGACGACACGUGUCCAACGCUGAAUGGACUGUGCACAUCCGACAUGGCAUCACUGUGGUACCUAAUAUUUUCUCCGAACUUCUGGGUCCUCUCUCUUCAUUGAAGACGCACUCUCUCUGCCUUCAUAUUUUUUUUCAAAAUUCACUUUGCGUCCUCUCUCCCUUCGUUGAAGAUAUACUCUCUCUUCCCUUUUUUAGCAAAAUUUGCCCCUCUCUCUCUCUCUCCCAAACUCAAUCUGCCUCCUGCACGUCGCCUCCGGGAGCCCCAUUGGUGGCUACGACUCUUCCGAGAGCCCGUGCCGGUCGCUGGGCGAUUAGAGGAACUUGUUAAUGAAUUUUUAGAAGUUGAGAGCAAGGUGUCAAUUCUUCAUAUCUUUCCUAUUUUGACUUCACAAGCUUUAUUCUGGUUGAUUUUUUGGCUGGUUGUCUCUCGUUCUCAUUUUAGGCUGCAGAGGCCCAAGAAGCACUCGAAAAGGAAUCGUUUGCCAGAUUGGAGGGUGAAGUUAGAGCAGAGCUGGCUCAAACUUAUGAUGGGGAUGAUUUGAGUCUUUGCUCUUAUAUUGUGCACUCAAGGUCUUCGUCUGCGAAGUUUGUCUUGGGAACUACUUUAACUCUUUUUCUCCUUUAACAGUCGGAGAAGGCUGUUGCAGAUGUAUAGGGAAGAGUGGCAAGCUCAACCUGAUGAGCUUUGAGACCGAGAGUGCUCACUUACUGAUUAAGAAAAUGCUCGCCUCCGCCUCCAAAGCCCCAUCGGUGGCUUUUCCUCUAGGAGCCCCGCUGUCAUGGCGUUUGUGCUCGCGAAGGCUGAGCAAGAAGGUUAGUCCUCGAUUAGGCCGUGCCCUCGAUUGCUGGUGCUCCAUUGCUCCAUCUCGUGGAGUCUGUCCUCGAUUCAACUACAAAAACUCUGGCUAACAAAGGUUCGCUCGUGGUUAGUUAGUUACUUCGCCCGUAUAAGGUUAUCCGAGGGCUAAAUAAGUCAUCCUGAACUUAUACUGUGCGAAAGAUACUUGCUUUCUCUAGAAAUGGAUGAUAUAUUAUUUUGCUUGUAAA